rnacentral:rRNA from 1 species
AUUAAUAAGCGGAGGAAAAGAAACCAACCGGGAUUCCCUGAGUAAGGGCGACUGAAACGGGAGGAGCCCAGCGCAUAACCUCGCGGUCCUUUGCCGGCCGACGAGGGGUGUUGCGUUUCGGUGGAUCCAUCCCGCUCGGACCGUUUACCGCCUAAGUCAUUGCUUGAAAGCAGCCCCAAGGAGGGUGAUAGGCCCGUGUGGCGGCGCCUGUAAAAAGGGUAAAGGCGGUCCGGGCGGAGGGGUCUUCACCGCAGAGUCGGGUUGCUUAGUACUGCAGCCCUAAGCAGGUGGUAAACUCCAUCUAAGGCUAAAUACUACCACGAGUCCGAUAGAGAACAAGUACCGUGAGGGAAAGUUGAAAAGGACUUUGAAGAGAGAGUUCAAAAGGACGUGAAACCGUUAGAAGCAUAAACGGGUGGAACCGCGAAGGUCGAACGAGGGGAUUCAGCUCGUCGGUCUCGGGAAGCGGGUGGCGGCACAUGAGAAUUGCAGUGUGAGGACCCAGCGCAGAGUGCUUUAGCUGUGGCACCGCCCCCGCCUCCUUAGUUGCCGGCGGGCUUACUUCUCCCUCCAGUAGGUCGCCGCGACCCGUUGCGGGGACCCCCAAGGCCGUGUCGGAUUGGUAGCCGAGGUGUUUGCGCGCCUGGGUGAUGACCGGGUGCGGUUCUGACGGGCCCCUGCGACGGUCACUGCGAGGAGGCAGGGCGUGCGUCGUUUUUUGCGGCGUGGGCCCUUGCCUCUCGCGGCGUAAAAGGGAUCGGUAAUCCACCCGACCC